GAUGAACGUUGGCGGCGUGCCUAAUACAUGCAAGUCGAACGAAGACUGUAGUAAUACUGUCUUAGUGGCGAACGGGUGAGUAACGCGUGGGUGACCUGCCCCGAAGUGUGGGAUAACAGUCCGAAAGGAUUGCUAAUACUGCAUAAUAUCCAAGAGAUUAGAUGCUUUUGGAUUAAAGGAGUAAUUCGCUUCGGGAGGGGCCCGCGUCCCAUCAGCUAGUUGGUAAGGUAAUGGCUUACCAAGGCAAUGACGGGUAGGGACCUGAGAGGGUGCCCCCCAAAUGGAACUGAAACACGGUCCAUACACCUACGGGUGGCAGCAGUAGGGAAUAUUAGAAAUGGACGAAAGUCUGAUCUAGCAACACCGCGUGUGCGAAGAAGGCCUUCGGGUCGUAAAGCACUUUUUGGAAGGAAUAGGAAGGACGGUACUCUCAGAAUAAGUCUCGGCUAACUACGUG
rnacentral:rRNA from 1 species